AUCUGGCUGAGGAGGUAGGAAAUAAAGCAGAGACCCCUCCUUUUAAGGCAAGUAUGGGGUAGUACGUUAGGGUAGGACCUUCUUUUUCCUAAGGCUCAGCCAGAACGUCUUGCUAUUUUUAGAGGACCGGCCAGUUCUGAAUAUUGAUUCAGUCAUGGGCAUGUGUCCCAUUUUAACUUCCCAGGGGCAGCCAGGAACAAGGCCAGCUUCGAAAGCCCAUCUUCUCUCCCUGCAGGCAUCCUGCCACCUUUCUCAGAAGAGGUGAGUAUUGGUGGCAUUUUGCCGUCACUGUUGUCCUUGCCCUGCCUCUCAUCAGAGCUGGAGAGCUGGAGCAGGCACUUCUGGGGAGGAUGGGGCAAAGCGUGGAGAGGGAGCCAACAUCAUACUAAGCUGUUUACCAUGUCGCUUCCAGCAAUUCUGUGGAGCAUGUCUUACUACACAGGAUGAAAUGGUCUCCAGCAGGUUAAGUACUGUGGAGGCAUAGAGUGCUUAAGAAACUCACCCAAAUCACACAGCUAGUAAAUGGCUGGCCUACGACUUGACCUCUCCAACCCAAAACACACCUUCAUUCAGAUAUGCCGUAUUUCGCAAACCUUGCCUGAUCCUUGGUGCUCCAGAGGCACUUUUUAAAACUCCCAUUCUUACACCCCACUCCAGAGCCAGGGAAUCAGAAUCUCCAGGAGAAGGGCUGGGUGUCCAUAUUUUUAACAAGCACGCCCACGGUGAUUUCAACGCUCAGUAAAUUUGAGAAAGAACAGCUCUAGGAGAGUUGCUUUUUGAACUUGAGUGAACAUCUGAAUCACAAGGGAGCUGUUAAAAUGCAGAUUAUUCUGAUUUGCUCUUAAAGGUGCUGAAAUAAGCCAUCUGGACCGGGACCCAGGAAUCUGCCUUUUUGCAACCACUCCUGAUUUGUUCUGUUGCAAGUGGGACUUUGAAAAACAUUGAUCUAAUGAUAAACAAGAAAGAGAGACACAGAUACUGAAGUAAUGAAAUCAUCAAUACUGGAAAGGACUCAUCUUACAACAGUCUAAGGGAAAUGACUUAGUUUGGAGUAAAGGAAGAAUUUCUUCAAACAUGGUAACAAAUGUUUAGACCCAGAACGGGGGAUCCCUCUCCACAACACGAAUAUUUAACAUAUUAACAACAGAAAGGGGAGCGGGUACUACUGUCCACACUGGACCACUGACAUCUUAUCUUUCCAAUGUUCUCUAUGCUCAGCUUCCACCUGGAAUGUUCUUUUCUCUUUGCCCAUCUUCACCAUUACUCCCUCUUUAAGGCUCAGCUCAAAAGACUUUCUCCAUAAAAUUUUCUUCCAGUUGUCUAGUUCCUGUUAUUGCACAUGUACUUGGGCACUUACCACAUCUCACCUAGCGGUCUGAUUCCUUGUGUCCCUGUAACGCGUGCAUCUCCUCUCAUAUGGGCUGGCAUCCUGACUGCCUCAUUUUUGAUUUCCCACACCACCCAGUGAAGGCCUUUGCUCAGUAAGGGUGGAGCAGAUAAAACUACCACCACCACACUUAGAGAGCACUUACUGUGUGCAGGCACUGUUCUCAGUGCUGUAACAAGUAACUUACAUUAUAAUAAUUCAUAUUUUAUGGAUGAAGGACACAGGCAGUGACGGAGAGGUUGUUCUUUGUGGAAGGGUCUCCUUUAGAAGCUAUAGCCCUGUAGGUGACCAGAGUCGCACCUGUAAGGAGAUCCGAGCUCUGUGGAUUCUGGAAAUAAAAAAUCUUAACCUUUGAAUUUAGUCUACCAGAGGCACCUGGAGGGCCAGGUAACACACAGAUUGCCAUCUCUGACCCCUAGAGUUUCUGAGUCAGUAGGUCUGAGUUGGGUCUGAGAAUAUGCAUCUCUAACAAUUUCCCAGGUGAUGCUGAUGCUGUUGGUCUGGGGACUGCACUUCGAGAACCACUGUUCUAGUGCAAUGUUUCUGACACUCAACAGUUCAGGGCAAGGAAUGGGACUCUUACAUUCUGACCUUCCUAAAAAUGAGAAGGUGAAGAAGAAGAGUAAAGCCACACAGAAGUCAGGAAGGUGUGACCCCUCUUCAAGAGUGUGGUUGUAGGAGCUUUCACCAAUGAGGGUGCAGACAGAUGGUCAACACUACGAAGAGAGGGGAAGCCCGUCUGUGAAGUUACCAAGGGUUCUCACUUAACGGCUUGUAAAUAACUGGGCCCAUCCCUUCACCUCCCAGUUCUUACCAAUAAAACUUAAGUGGAGUUUGGAGAAGAAUGGAUAAAAAAUGAGGUGAAUGUUUUUCUUGAGAAGACAGCCCAACAGAGGGUCCACUGACUCAUACGACCUCAUAUUGUAUUCGUGAAGAGAUCAUAAUGAUAAUACAACGUAAUAUAACGUAAUAAUACAGAAUGAUGAUAAAGCUCUUUAGCUCCAAAAUUUCUUAAGUUUUUUUUAAGUGCGCCUGUUAAGUUGAGUGAGCAUUAAGAAUUGCUUAAGGUCCAGGGGACAAAUAGGAGAAUCUGGUACUUGUCCUAGUUUUCCAAAGAAACACAUUGCUGAGGGACUGAGUUUCUUAGUUUUUGAAAACGAGGUAACACUUCACAUUGUCUUAGUGGGGACAUCUGUGAGGUCAUCCAAAACCUACUCCCAUUCAACGAUUGAUAUUGGAGAUAAAUUACUUAUCAGAAAUAAAUUCCUUUGAGUUACUUUGAAGAAAAUUUCAACAUACAUUCAAAAUAUUUUACCAAGGCACUGAAAGGGCAAGCAGCAAGUUCAAGGUCAUGCGCUGUCAAACUCUCAUCCAUCACUCCUAAAAUCUUAGCUCUUCUUUAGGUAAUUGAACAGCCCCUAGGGUGAUUGUGCGUGAUCUCCCCCUUUGAGCUUUCCUUAUCCCUCUGUCUUCCAUGCCCACCCUCCUCCCCCCGCCUGCCUUUGCUUUAAGCCCCAGCACACAGAAACGAGUCUGCUGUCAGUACCAGCCGACAAGUCAUUCCCAUGCACCAAUAACGUGGGCAGGGGCGAUCUCUCUCAUUCAUUUCCCCUCGCCUCGCUCUGCCUGAGGGAUCUGGAUUCUAGCAGUCCUCCCCCGCCGGUGUGAGAUGCAGAACGUGGAGCUUCACCUGCCCCUAUAGAUGCUGCCGUGCUGGCUCCAGAUGACAGAAGCAGAUCGCCUGCAGGGCUUCCCAAAAAUUCACAAAGAAAGAAAGACAGAUGGGCCAGGCAGGAACGCCCAGAGGACAAUUAGAGGAGAAAGAAGCCCGCGGGAGCAGCUCGAUAUGAAUGCUGAGAGCACUUGUUUGCACAAAUAAGAAGGUGGAAAUGGAAGGAAUUUUAUGAUGGCAAUUUCUCAAAAUUCUUUGAUCAACAGCUAAGAAGUGGAACUACAUGACUUGCAGAAGAAUUUGUCACCCAGUUCUGAGAGCAUUUUAUUGGGAGAGGCAAUCUGCCAUGGACCCUGAGUUUCCCUGCAUAUCCUUGCUGACUAUGCCAAGAAGACAAGGCUCUGGCUGCUUUUUAUCUGGGCCAUUUCUCAGGGCAGUGAGCUACCUUGAGAUGAGGUAGCAUUUCUACCCAGUCAAAGAGCAAGCUUGCUUCUGCUUGCUAUAAAAGUGUUGAAUCCCCCAAGCUCAGUGUGAUACAAAUCCACAGUGUAGACAGCAUGCAUCUAAGUCCAUCCAUCUUCUUGUGUUGCCCCCAUGGGACUUGAAUGACAUAGGAAACCAAUUCGAACAAUCAUCAUGCCAGGCUUCUUGCUGUGCCAAGAGUAAUAAAGGCCAUAGUCUCUGACCCACAAGUUUCAUGUCUUUUCCACCAUCCAUGAAACCUUAACAGACUAGUUUAUUAGCUUUUAAGUAGGAUAAAAUCCCAGAUCCCUCACAGACCCUGACAUAGUUAUGUUUUUAAUUUCUGGGGAGAAAACCAAGAAGGUAGUACCAUGACUCAUUAAAUGACUGUUAAUUGUAGCAGUUACUCUUCCACGUGGAGCUAUCUUGUUUACUAUAAUGCAAUCAAAGUGUUAGAAAAACCUAAAUAUUAUUAAUUUCAAUGCAUGCUUGUCAAUAUGAUAUUUUUGAAAAACACUUUGAAAAUCUCAUCAUGUACUUUAAAU